rnacentral:rRNA from 1 species
CAGGGUUUGACAUCCUGCGACCGCUCCGUAAUGGGAGUUUUCCCGCAAGGGACGCAGAGACAGGUGCUGCAUGGCUGUCGUCAGCUCGUGUCGUGAGAUGUUGGGUUAAGUCCCGCAACGAGCGCAACCCUCGCCUUUAGUUGCCAUCAUUCAGUUGGGCACUCUAGAGGGACCGCCGGCGACAAGCCGGAGGAAGGUGGGGAUGACGUCAAGUCCUCAUGGCCCUUACACCCUGGGCUACACACGUGCUACAAUGGCGGUGACAGUGGGCAGCUACUUCGCGAGAAGCGGCUAAUCCCAAAAAACCGUCCCAGUUCAGAUUGCACUCUGCAACUCGAGUGCAUGAAGGUGGAAUCGCUAGUAAUCGCAGAACAGCAGGCUGCGGUGAAUACGUUCCC